GGGAGCCGCUGUCCCGGGCCUGGCCCGUGCGCGUCCGCCUGCUGCACCGGGGCACCAGGAGCCGCAGAGGUACCGGACCCGGCGGGGGCGCUGACCUCGGCCUAGGAGUCUUAGGAUCCCGGAGACAUCCGUGUCUGCUGGGGCCUGUAGGUCGCACGCCGAAGCCCUAGCUGCUGAGGCUCACCGCUGUUUCUCGGGGCGAGGUCAGGUGCCCCCCUUCUCUCCUCUCUUCUCUCCCUCCCCCACCUCAGUGCGGGCGGGAGAUUCUGCCCGCCUCCUCCCGCAGGGGUGCAGCAGGCUGCGGAGCUGACAGCGGCCCCGCAGCCACCCUGCUCAAACUCUCCGGAAGCAGAUAGAGCUCAGGCCGCCGCCGCAGCCCCGGCGGACCUACAGUUGGACCGGAGACUCCGAUCCUUCUGCGUCCAAACUUGGGGCACUUGACCUUCGCUUAUCGGAGGAGGUAAGCCCGCAGGUGGCUGGACAGCUGCGGCGCCGCGAGGGCAUCUUGCUUUGGAACCGUCGGCUGCACUCCCUGACUCUGGGAUUUGCUUCUGGGAUCCAAAGGUGUCUACAGCAGGCGCAUGUUGACUGAGACCUACCGUCAUGGAUGUGUGCGCCCGUCUUGCCCUGUGGCUUCUUUGGGGGCUCCUUCUGCAUCAGGGCCAGAGUCUCAGCCAUAGUCACAGUGAAAAGAAUACAGGAGCUAGCUCCGGGGCGACUUCUGAAGAGUCUACCGAAGCAGGUAAAGAAGGCCUUGCGGCGGGCUGGACUGGGCUGGGGGCUUGAUUGACUCAAGACUGAGUGGCCCGAAGUGGGCACGUUGGAAUCUCCGCACAUGUGAGAUACACCAUAACACUGUGUAGUCUCAGUAGUCCAAGAAGUUCUUUCGUGUAGUAGUCAUGCCUAAUGUUAGUAUUUCCCCAGAGCAACUUUCCUUAUCCCUCCUCCGGAAGGUAGUGAGAAGCCUCAUGGGGACACCUUGACUUUUUAGAUCAGUAAGGUUGAGGCCCCAUUCAGGACUUCUUGUCUGGAAGAGUAGCCUUCUCAGAUGUUAAAAUUCCUUUUAGCCAGUUUUAUCACUUGAGGUAUAAGGGGGUGUGUGGCAAUGGUGGGUUGAGGCCACUCGGGAUGGGCAGGGAAGAUCAGGGCAGGGCUGGGUCUGUUUUUCUACAGCUUGGUGUUCAGGUGUGCCUUUCUGUUCUAACCACCGUGAGAACCACCGUAGUCCCUCCUUUCCCUUAGGAAAUCUGUCUUUUGCUUGUGCCCAUGUGAAAUAUCAAAGCAAGUCCUUAGAUGGAAUCCUGUUUACCACUAGGGACUUAAAUGGCCCUUUCUUGACUUCUCGGUAAUAAAAAAUCCUGGGACCACUUGUUGACUUAAUCCGUUUCUUCUGACUGAUGAGAGUAAGGAUUCCAUGUUAUUAUUUUUAAUCUGUCCUUAUUUUCCCUGUAUACUUACAGAGCUUUGUUUAGCAGUAGUAGCUCUGGCCAAUACUUUUGCAGUAGAAAGGAACCUUUAAAAAAAAUACAAUUAAUUUACACAAAGUUUAGAAGCUCACCAGUUCUCUUUUUCUGUUUUUCACACCCUGUCACUACAAUCUGCCCCAGACUGUAGCCUGAAGGGUUGGGGACAGAAGACUAGUUAGGGUGUUUGAGGAUAGGCAAGUUCAGAGAGGGGAUGUCUCAGUGGGUAUCUGCUGAUACAAGCAGGGAAAGAAUAUAAAAUAUGGCGGUGAAGUCUUUUAUGGAUUGCAUUAGUGGUAGACUUUUUCUUGGGCUGCCCUCUUUCAGCUUUUUUGACUUGGUUGUCUGAAAUUUUAGGUGUUUCAAGGGCUGAUUUGUAGGUGAGGCCAGGACUGUCCCUUAUACAAGCAUGGAGUUAGGGCUGUUGCUUUUAGGAUUGGUCAUUCCUGCAUCUCCAUAGGAAAUCUCCUAGGCCUCUGAAACUUAGCUUAAAUUUGUUUCCCCCCAUUGGGCUAUGAAUGGAAAAAUUGGUUGAACUGUGAAGUAACCCUGAGUAGUCUUUCUGCAGUCCCAGUGACAGACAUCCUGGUUUAUAAUUGAUCAUUUAUCCUCUUGUUUUCACUUCAGAAUAUGUGUGUAUGACAUAAAAUCAAUCUUUCUGAGAGCUGUUUGGUAUGUCAGAUCUAAACUAAAAGAAUGCAGCUUCGAGUUUUAGGCAUUAGCAAGCCUUUAGGAAGUUGACUGUAGGUCGUGUGUGUGUGUGUGUUUUGCCUAAGGUAGAGAAGCAUUCCAGCAUUCCUCAGGAAUCCCUCAGGAUGAGUCUGUGGAGACAUUCCUCAAACGUCCUAUCUUUGAGGACUGACUGUUUAGAUUACGCCAUAAAGGCCUCUCUUUUCAUCUUUAUUUCCUCUUAGUUCAGAAAUUGGCUUCCAUCGUUGUAGUAAUUAUAUUCCAGGGAGGAAAGUCUCAGGGACUCUAUGUGUUAGGAAUGCCUAUCGUUUUUGUGGGAAUGUGGGUGUCCUUCCUACCUGUAUUGUUUUGGUAGCUUGUCUACUUGGGUCACUAUGGAACUUUGGCUCAGGCAGGGACUUUUCUUUCUUCUUCAAAGAAGUGGCUUCUACCCUAGAUUCUGCAAAGGGUUUGGAGUGAAACUGUUGCUAUAGCCAGGAUUUGUGCAGAGUCUUUCCAAGUCCUCUGUGUCCACAGAACACAUGAGUUUUACUUGCUGUUAAAGCUACCCCUUCUAUACUGUUCUUUCUUCUUCCCUCCCUCUCCUCUAUCCCUCUGACUCUCCCUGUCUUUCUCUUUCUUUAGACUUAGUAGCCUAGGUUGGCCUUAAACUUAAAAAGUAGCUGAAGCUGGUCUUGAGGUCUUGAUCUUUCUGCCUCCACUACUCAAGGGAUGGACUACAGGCCACAAGACACCAUACCUGUCUUAGCUACCAUUUUCUCAGCAAGAUUCAACAUAAUUGGUAAAUUUGUGUGCUCUGCACAGUUUAUAUUUUACAGUUACAUGGCUUACUCUGCAAAGCCUCAAAAUAACCCUAUUAAAAUGCAGCGAAAGAUAAUACAUCCUUAUUUUUACAUGUGAAUAAAUGCUUUGGGCUAUCAAGAUGGCUCAGCAAGGAAAGGGUCUGCCUGUGUAUAUCUGAUGACCUUGGCUCAAUCCCUGGGACCAAGUAAUGGGAGAAUUGAUCCCAUAAAGUUGUCCUUUGAUCUCCAUAUGUACAUCAUGGCACAUGUGCUCACAAAUACACAUCGUGCACAUGUACACACACACACACACACACACACACACACACUGAAAAAUAGAAAGAGAGAGAGGGAGACUGAGGGACUGAGAGAGUAGGACUAGGUUCUUUGCUUUGUAUUUGAAACAGGUGUUCUGAUCUUAAGUCCUGGACUUCUUCCAUCUUCUCAGGUCCUGUCCUGUUAAAGGAGUGCUAGGUGGGGCCUAGAAAAUGUUGCUCUCCUCUUGGCAGUUAGGUAGGCCCUGGUGACUUUGUGUCUGAGAUCCAAGAAAAGGAGUGCUUUUUUUUUUUUUUCCUCCUGGAGAGGCGUUGAUAAAAGAAUCGCCCCUCCCUCCAACCUGUUAUCUGUCAUAAGAUUUGAUUCUAAGGAUUUUGCUAAAAGUCUUAUGGUGGCCAGGUAUGAUGGCACAUGAUUAUUGUCCCGACACUCAAGAGGCAGAGGUAGAGGCAGGUGGAUUUAUGUGAGUUCUAAACCAGCCUGGUCUACACAGUAAGUUUUAGGCUGUUAGGAAUACAUAGAGAAGAUUGUCUCAAAAAUGUUUAUGGUACACUAAGGCUAUAGCUUAGUAGUGGAGUGCUUGGUUAGUGUAUUAAAGGUCCUGUGUUCCAUUUCCAGCACCACAU
rnacentral:lncRNA from 1 species